rnacentral:lncRNA from 1 species
GCUCCUGCGGCUGCGACUCAGGCUCCGGCGUCUGCGCUUCCCCAUGGGGCUGGCCUGCGGCGCCUGGGCGCUCUGAGAUUGUCACUGCUGUUCCAAGGGCACACGCAGAGGGAUUUGGAAUUCCUGGAGAGUUGCCUUUGUGAGAAGCUGGAAAUAUUUCUUUCAAUUCCAUCUCUUAGUUUUCCAUAGGAACAUCAAGAAAUCAUGAACAACUUUGGUAAUGAAGAGUUUGACUGCCACUUCCUCGAUGAAGGUUUUACUGCCAAGGACAUUCUGGACCAGAAAAUUAAUGAAGUUUCUUCUUCUGUAAGUAUAUGAGGCCCAUGCUGGCAGUGCAGCUGAGAGUGCCAGGCAAGUGGAAAACUUUGGCAAGGUCUAAGGAAGAGCAAUGAGGCUUACAUGUCUUGUUAUGGAAUGUAGAAAUUAAUUCACUGGUGGUAAAUUAAUAGUGAUAAUGGUGAUACUCAUAUCAGUGGCUAGACUCAAAAGAGCAGGAUUCAUUGUGACUGAUGGGAAUGAAGGUCGCUGGCUAUUGGUGUGGUGUGUGGUGAGGCUGCUAGUGAGUCACCUGUGACCACUCUUGUUUCAGGAUGAUAAGGAUGCCUUCUAUGUGGCAGACCUGGGAGACAUUCUAAAGAAACAUCUGAGGUGGUUAAAAGCUCUCCCUCGUGUCACCCCCUUUUAUGCAGUCAAAUGUAAUGAUAGCAAAGCCAUCGUGAAGACCCUUGCUGCUACCGGGACAGGAUUUGACUGUGCUAGCAAGACUGAAAUACAGUUGGUGCAGAGUCUGGGGGUGCCUCCAGAGAGGAUUAUCUAUGCAAAUCCUUGUAAACAAGUAUCUCAAAUUAAGUAUGCUGCUAAUAAUGGAGUCCAGAUGAUGACUUUUGAUAGUGAAGUUGAGUUGAUGAAAGUUGCCAGAGCACAUCCCAAAGCAAA